rnacentral:rRNA from 3 species
AACUUUCAACAACGGAUCUCUUGGUUCUGGCAUCGAUGAAGAACGCAGCGAAAUGCGAUAAGUAAUGUGAAUUGCAGAAUUCAGUGAAUCAUCGAAUCUUUGAACGCACAUUGCGCCCUGUGGUAUUCCGCAGGGCAUGCCUGUUCGAGCGUCAUUAU